UUUUGAGCUCGAAAAUAUCACAUUCACCAUACGUUUUGCAUACAUAUCAACAAAUUUAUAGUUAGUAUAUAAACGCGAAAUGACUCACAUAUUUCAAUCACAUAACAGAUUCCAUCAAAAGAGCUCAAAUUAUCUUUUUACAUGGUUUAAAAGCAAUCUGGCAACAUUGCAGAGCUGAAGAGGAUUAGUUUUUUGCUUUGUCUAAUGACAGACAAGGAUACCAAAAUUUUAAUCAGGUUCUGAUUUUAUAGAGUGGAGCUCACUAUAGGCGUGUGCAUGCUUAAUGGUAGGGAUGAUGAAGAGAGAUGAAUGGACCUACAUUUCUGAUAGAUUCCAAAUCAACAGUUUGUUGUAAAAACAAUAAUUAUUCACAAGAAAUGCUAAUCAGUAUACCCACACAUAAAAUCUUAUAUUUAACAAAACAAUAUUAUGAUGAAGCAGAUUACAAAAAAAAUCUCUUUGUGGUCACCCAUCCAAUAGAAGUACCGGUACCGAGUGCUCUCACAAAGCGCUCAAUCUCUUCCAUAUUUUUGCAACCGAUUUUUCUUAGUUUUCUCUCUAUGGAAUCAUUUUUCAUGAUGCAGACCUUCUUGUUAGACAUUUGAAUCUUGUUUUUAGCUAGCGAUUGGAAAUUUCAUUUCUAUUAGCCUAUGUGUAGUACAGUUUUGAAGCUGAGCUUGCCAUGCUAUAUACAUCUACAAAGUUGCCUCUAUUUUAUAUUACUUACUGUAAUAAGUAUGACUAGUCUGUUAUUUAAUGCUGUUCCAAUGAAAUUUCCUGUAGAAAUUGAGUUUAAAAUCAAGCAAGGAAUAUGGUUAUUAUUCAGUAAGGACUAGUAAAAGAUAAAUCUCAAUUUAUGUACGGCAUUGCAUUCAUUUGGAAAGUUCAUUGUAAACAUUUGAGUAUAAUGUAAACUUUAUUAUUACUCCUCAACUCAACUCACUAAGUUUAUUUGUUGUAAAAGAUGCUCUUCAAUUCACUUAUUUUUUUGUAAGAGACCAUUGAAUUUCUUCAUGCUAGACGUAUCAGUCCAAAACGAAAUUAAUGGAGAUCAUUUCGAAAAAUGAAUUUUCCAAAAUAAUUAAAACCAAAUAAAAUUUCUGAAAUGCAUGUGAGCAUGUACUCAUAGCAUAAACAUCAUAACUAAUAUUCAUUCCUUUAGUAAAUUUAUUUACUUUUUCGACGAAUUUUAAAUUUAUAUUGAAACCAUGCAUAUAAUAAAAAAUGGAAAGAUUAGAAAUGGACUGAUGCUCUUUUGGCAUGGAGAUAUUCAAGUAGCAUCAUUAGGCUAGAUCUAUCACUAGAUUCAUCCAUUAUUGUAAGAUAUCUCUUAUGUACUUCCCUCUAUAUAGGAAAAAAAGAAAAGAAAAAUAGAAUGUAUUUUUAUAAUUUGAAAAAAUAAAGAUUAACUGUGUUGUUUGCAUCUUAAAUGCUCCUCUUUUAGAUUUAGAUUUAAUCAUAAGAAACAGUCACGGAGUGACAGCAUCUUCAAUGCUCCACUAUAAAAUUAACUUCUAUUGUAACUUUGUAACUGCUCCAACUUCAAAAUUUCACUGUUUCAAAUUUAUUAAGAACUUUUGACUGUUGAUUUUGUAAGAGCAGUAUUAGAUUCCUUCUAAUUCUACUUGUAAAAGAUGCUUUUCGUUCACUUAUAAUUGUAUUAGGUUACUGAAUUGUUCUAUGCUAGAGUGGUAUUGGUCCAUAUAAAUUCAGUUGCAAUAUUACUCAUAUAAAUCAUUUCUAAAUUGAUUUUUAUCCAAAUUUAAUGGGAACAUAACAUGCAAUUACUGCAUAAAACGUUUUUCUGAAGUUUCCAAAGUCUCUUAAAGUAUUGGUCUCUUGAAGUAUUGAAAAUUAGGCUAUACAAAGUUUCCACACAAAAAUCCUUAGUGAUGAAAAAAAUGGUCCAAUGUCCCUUUAGCACAUAGCAGUUCAGCAAGCAUCUUCAUUGUUGUAUUUCACACUUCACAAAAAAAUGUAAAAAAAUUAAGAAUAGAAAAUGAAAAAAAAAA
rnacentral:lncRNA from 1 species